rnacentral:rRNA from 1 species
UACGAAGGGGGCUAGCGUUGCUCGGAAUCACUGGGCGUAAAGGGUGCGUAGGCGGGUCUUUUAAGUCAGGGGGUGAAAUCCUGGAGCUCAACUCCAGAACUGCCUUUGAUACUGAAGAUCUUGAGUUCGGGAGAGGUGAGUGGAACUGCGAGUGUAGAGGUGAAAUUCGUAGAUAUUCGCAAGAACACCAGUGGCGAAGGCGGCUCACUGGCCCGAUACUGACGCUGAGGCACGAAAAGCGUGGGGAGCAAACAGG